UAAAAGAUAAGCUAACCCAAGCUGAAGGGCUCAUAUCCCUUUCAUGGCUUUGCCUCUUUUAA
rnacentral:tRNA from 1 species